rnacentral:rRNA from 1 species
UGGGGAAUUUUGGACAAUGGGCGAAAGCCUGAUCCAGCAAUGCCGCGUGUGUGAAGAAGGCCUUCGGGUUGUAAAGCACUUUUGUCCGGAAAGAAAUCCUUGGCUCUAAUACANUCGGGGGAUGACGGUACCGGAAGAAUAAGCACCGGCUAACUACGUGCCAGCAGCCGCGGUAAUACGUAGGGUGCAAGCGUUAAUCGGAAUUACUGGGCGUAAAGCGUGCGCAGGCGGUUUGCUAAGACCGAUGUGAAAUCCCCGGGCUCAACCUGGGAACUGCAUUGGUGACUGGCAGGCUAGAGUAUGGCAGAGGGGGGUAGAAUUCCACGUGUAGCAGUGAAAUGCGUAGAGAUGUGGAGGAAUACCGAUGGCGAAGGCAGCCCCCUGGGCCAAUACUGACGCUCAUGCACGAAAGCGUGGGGAGCAAAACAGGAUUAGAUACCCUGGUAGUCCACGCCCUAAACGAUGUCAACUAGUUGUUGGGGAUUCAUUUCCUAGUAACGUAGCUAACGCGUGAAGUUGACCGCCUGGGGAGUACGGUCGCAAGAUUAAAACUCAAAUGAAUUGACGGGGUCAUACUGUUUCCU